UAUUUGGCAUGCUAUGUACUUGCUCAAUGAGGUUACCGCUGACGAUGUAUUCGGCUUUAUCGAAUCUGCUAUCUCAAUUGCAUUAGUGGAGAGGCCAGACGAGUUUAGGGAAAGAAAAUUGAGAAUAGCACGACUUCUCUACGGUGAUGAUGAUGAUACUUCCAUUAACAGUGGUGAAGAAGCCGAUCUUGAAGGUAAAAAGGGUCAAAGUCAUUCGAUUCCAAAAAGUGAUAAAAAUACAAGUGUUGAUGAUGAAAGAAACCUCGCAACAUCAUUCGAAUUAAGUUGCCUAAAACAAGAAGCAACGUCGACGCAGCACCGGAGUCGGGAAAGAAGACAAUGAUUAACUUACAGCAUCAAAGAAAGAUUCAAGAACAACAAAGUUCUGAGAUAGACUUGAAAUUUGUAGAGAGUAAAAGAAAAUAGGAAGAAAGAUGUUAACAACUCGACAAAUCAAGAAGCAAGAUACAAAGUCUUGAGACCAAGAAUCUUCCUCGUCAAGAUGGGGAACCAAAGAAGAGACUACAGGUUUUGCAUUGCACAGGCCAAAAAACAAAGAGGCAAUCUGAUCCGCUUAAGCUUCUUCCAAAUUCCAAGUUCAGUUGUUAUAGCAAGCGUACGAGGCCCGGUACUACUUCUUGAAGACAUUAGAAAAUGGAAGUGAUAAGGUCUGUCUGAACAUAUAUUUUGAUGUAAUGUUGUAAAAGAACUACGUGCAGCUUGAUUCCUAAUUUGGGUACGUAGGCAGCCUAAACUUUAAAGGUUCCUGCUUUUAGUGAUGACAAUUUAUUUGUGCCUGAAAGUUGUAAUUGUAUAAAAUCUGUUACUCAGUUCUGUAAUUGUGAUUAUAGAUAUUUUACACAGUUUUUGUCGUAUAUAUGGAAUAUUUCCUUGUUAAUUAUAUUCAAUCAUAUCUCCAGUUUCACUAAUUAGAUUUUUCUGAUAUUUGUUGGUAAUCAAGAGUUUUGUAUUUAAUUAAUGUCUUUAUUUAGGGGUUGUUUUAGUUAAUUUUGCGUCAACAAGUCGUGUGGGUUCUUUUUAUUCAAUUAUUGGUCAAUAUUUGUUAUUAUCUUGGAAAUCGAUGAGUUUCGAUAUCUUUUCGUUACUGUUUAGUGUUUCUCAUUGCAUAACACGAAUAUACUUGUACAAAACCUGAUUCGUGCAGUAGAGUGAUAGGAAACAAGUGUGUUGAACCUCUAUUUUUUCAAGACUCGUUUUUAUAAAUUUUAAUUUCAAUCACACUUUCUUUUAUAAAAUAAUUUUACAAGUAAACUCAAAACUUUUUUAUUUCUCUUUUUUAACCAAAUAAUUUUUGAAAUUUAUUAUUUCAAAACACAUUUUCUCAAAAAAAAAAUUUAAUAAUAAUAAUAAUAAAUAAUAUAUAUAUAUAUUUCUUAGGAUAAUAUUAAUAGUCAAUAGACUAUUAAUAGUAAGUAACUUCAAUAAUUUUUUAUUUACAAUUUACUUAUUAUAAGACAUAUAACUAUAAAUUUAACAAAAAUACUCAUCGUUUCCAAAAUGGAAUGAUUGUAACUUAGCUAAAUAAUAUCUUGUUAAAAUAACACAUUUCCUAAUCUAACUAAAAUUAUCGUUAGGUUGUUGGGAGUUUAAAAAUUAUACUUAGAUGAGGCUACCAAAUAGUUUCACGUUGACUAAAAAUAUUCACAGCACAACUUUAAUUUACUAAUUAGAUUACAUUUUAAUUGUAUGAAAUAUUCAUAAUCGUUACACUUUAUCACAUUUAUGUCUCAAACUUCUUUUCAUAGCAUUCUUAUUCUCAAAUUAACAUAAAUUUUUCCUAAUUAUGAUUUCUCUUCAUUUUUUUUAAUAUAGUAAAAUAAAACUCAUUUACCCAUCGUAUUUUUAAAUGAGCAAAACAAAUAAUAAUACAUUAAUACAAUUAAAUAGUUGACCCUCAUUUUAAAGUACGUUAAUAAUAUUUUUGAUCGAAAAUCAUGAUUAAGGAUAAACUUUUUUUGAUCAAUAAAAUGUUAAACAUAAUAAUAUGAUAAUGAAGAAAGUUAAUGAUAAAAGUUUGAUACUAAUAAAAAUUAGUGACCUUUACUUAUUAGAAAAACAUAGUGUAAAUAUAACCACCCUUUCAUGUUACCUAAUUUGAUAAAUACUUUACUUUAAUGGAUUUCAUUCGUCAAUUUGUUUAGCCCCUAUUUGAUAGCCAUCUUUUAGAAAAAAAAAUUGAUAUUUUGAAGAGUAAUUCAUUGGAGAAUAUAUGGUUAAAAAGUAGGAAAAAAAUUUAAAUUUAUGUGCAAAAUAUUUUGUUAUGGGAAUGUGAGGUUGAAAAUGAGUAUGAGAAUUAGCUUCUGUCUGAUAAAAGUUGAUGAAAGGGUGACAUGGCUCACUGCAUUUUGAUUAGCUAGACGAUGUAUGAAUUGAGCUCACAUUCUCAACGUUAGUGUUUUUAAAGAUAUGAAUGAAAAAAGGAAUAUAUGUUGAGAAAUGUUUGGUUUUAUUUUAUUUUAAAGUAAAUCAUGUAUAUAUUAUAAGCAUCCAUCGUAUGCACGAUGUUUGUUUUACGUCACGUUCAUUCCAUGUUAUUCGUCCUCAUUUGUCAAAUGAUGAGAGUUAGGUGAUGCGACGCCACUACUUGAGGCGAGAUGGGCUAAUUAUAUUCUAAAUUAAUAAUUUGUACUUCUGAUAAAUCUCAUUGUUGUUAAUAAAUAAUUUCGGAUGAUGUAUUUUGUCUCAAAAAAUUGUUUAAAAUUUUAUUAUUUCGCAAGUUAUAAAAACACCUAAAGUUGUAAUUUAUGUAAUACAACUAAACUAUUUAGAGAAAAAUAACCUUGAAUAAUUUCCAUCCAUCUCAUCAUUGAAAUAAAAUAAUUCAGAGAGAAAAACCCGUGUAUGCACUGUGUGAAUGAGAUGUUAAAAUAGGCCCAUAUUCAAACAAUUAAACAAAGAGUUUGCAGUAGACAUAAUUAUGUUAUUGAACAUUAGAAUGAAACCAAAAUAAAUUAUUAAUCCAACCUUUAUGCAAGGAGCAGUACUUGAUCCAGAAAGUGAAGAAUGGAAAAAGUCAUCCAACAGCAAGGAGGCCUAACAAGUAAAUAAGGUAAAAACCUUGACUACUAAACAUAAGGGCAUUUUAUUAGGUAUGAUUUCGAUUAGUUCACUAUUGGACCCCUAAUGUAGUAUUAUUAAUUUAUUUAAGACUUAAAAUGGUCACAUUGAUUUAUUAAAUUUUCACUAUGUUGUCGGAUUGUGAUAUAUUUGAAUUNGAUGACGAUACUUCUAUUGACAGUGGUGAAGAAGCCGAUCUUGAAGAUAAAAAGGAUCGAAGUCAUUCGAUUCCAAAAAUUGAUGAGAAUACUAGUGUUGAUGAUGAAAGAAAUCCCCACAACAUUAUUCGAAUUAAGUUGCCUAAAACAAGAAGCAACAUCGAUGCAGCACCAGAGUCGGGAAAGAAGACAAGGGUUAACGUACAUCAUCAAAGAAAGAUUCAAGAACGACAAAUUUCUGAGAUGGACAUGAAAUUUGUAGAGAGUAAAAGAAAAUUAGAAGAAAGAUAUGAACAACUCGACAAAUCAAGAAGCAAGAUACAAAUUCUUGACACCAAGAAUCUUCCUCGUCAAGAUGUGGAACCAAAGAAGAGACUACAGGUUUUGCACUGCACAGGCCAAAAAACAAAGAGGCAAUCUGAUCUGUGUGCGCUUUUUCCAAAUUCCAAGUUCAGUUGUGAUAACAAGCGUACGAGGCCAGGUACUACUUCUUGGAGACAUUAGAAAAUCGAACUGAUAAGGUCUGUCUGAACAUAUAUUUUGAUGUAAUGUUGUAAAAGAACUACGUGCAGCUUGAUCCC
rnacentral:lncRNA from 1 species